AAGCUAUAGUACUUUUUCCUUUGGGAAGGUACCAUCUGUGAAGUCUGCAAUUCUGUUGAAGAAAGAUGUUGAAUCUAUUUAAUUAUUGUAGAAAAAUAAUUGAUUGAUUGAUUGAUAAACAAAGGAUGUGACUCUAAACUUAUGUUUCCGAGCACCAGCUUUCUCACAAACCCCUCCCUCCUGUCCCAGCUUUUUCUUCUUUUUAUUAAAGUUUCACUUUCACUUGUCCUGAACUUGGUGUCGCAGAUGAUCUUGUCGGUGUGAAUAUCCAUGUGAAGGCAGACUGCAGACUGGGAAACACCAGUCCUUCUUAGUCCUUCUACUCACAACAUAUAAGAAUCUAACUGGAACACGUCCUCUUACUGAGGUCUGCACUACGAAGCAGGAUUUGAUCUUAUCAAGGUAAUGUCAGGGUUCUUACAGGGGUAUGUUCCCAAUGGUAACUUAUGCAGCUAUUUUUCAGUCUCACUGACCAAACCUUUUCAAACAUGCUGGACUUGAAACAUGAAAAACAGACAUUGGUUUUGAAUUGUGGUUCAGCAGAAUCACGUUUCAGUUUUUAGCCCUGUUUUGGUUCAUCCUGUUGGAGGAUCUGUGACCUGUGACUGAGACAAAGCUUUCUGAUACUGGGCAGCACAUUUCACUGCACACUAUCUAGGGGUUGUUGUUUUAUUGUUGUUGUUGUUGUUGUUAUUUUUGUUGUUUUUUUGCAGGAACACUUAACUUUUACAAAUAAUUAGAUUCAUCCAUUAUUUAUUACUUAUAUUUAUCCGACAUGAUUCCUUCCAAAUGUCUGAAGUAGCUGCUGGUACCUACUCUAACUGGAAGAAGUAGUCUAUAAACAGAUUUGUUAAUAUUUGAACCUUUGCAGUACAAAUGUUCAUAUUUGUACAAGCAGGCUGGGUGUGGCUGUGUCUGUUUGUGUUACAGCAUCAGAGUCACAGCAGGAAGUUGUUGCUGUUGUAAUCAUUGUGUUCAAUGUGGCGGCAGCCAGAUCACAGAGAAGAAGCAAAGGAUUUUCUGUUUUUCUAAACAGACGUGUUCCACACAGUGGAGAACCAAAGAGUGAAGAAGGUCAUUGGAAGAAGCUGAGUGAAGGUAGAAAGUGUGUGUGAGCUGAUGUGAAUUCAGCA